UUCUCUGUUCCAUAAAUAAACCGCUCUAAUUCUCUUCAUUGUUUCCCCUUAUCAUUAUCUCUUCAUUUGCUUCACUGAAUUGCCUCUUCACCUCCCCUUCUUUUCUCUCAUCAUAAACCCUCUCUUCCACUUUCUCUUUAUUUGUAUUUCUUCACAAUAUUCAAAAUUAGAUCUAUUACAUAUCUCCCUCCUCCCUAAGUCUACUUAUCGAAAAGCUCCUCCACAAAUAUUCGAAAGCUCUCUUCAGACUCUUCUGAAGGAGAAUCUCAUACUGUAGAAAAGGCGUUUAAGAAGCAAUCCACUUGUGAUAAAGGAUAUUCUUGCAAGAAAUUUUGGGUGGAAACUUGUGGGUCUUUUACUCGAGAGGACAUGCAAAAGUUUUGGGGUAUUUAGCAAAAGAGAAAUUUGAGCUCUUUUAAAAUCAGUCUGUGGUUCAGAUAUGAUGAUAAACUUGAAGCUACUCAAGGAGUCUCAUUUUUCAGGAGAGAAAACACUGGUUCUACAGGUCACAAGGAGAUGCACAAUUCGAGGGGGAGCCAGCUCAACUUGAAAGAAACUUACAGGGAAGUUUAUCUACUUUUAUCCACAAAUAUAGUUUUAAUGAUGACAAUGUUAAUCCCUAAUUAUGUGCCAAAUGAUAAAAGAAGCAAUACACAAAAAGAAAAAGUCCAUUUUGCCAGUAGAGAUAUCAAUCCCACAAUUCAAACAAAAUCUCAAGGCUUUUGGAAGGCUACAUCACAAAAGGAAGGAGUAUAUUCAGCUCAGGAA